rnacentral:rRNA from 1 species
CCAUGUGAGUCGUUGUAGCAAUACAAGGCAUACGGCUCAGUAACAUGUAGUCAAUCUAACCUAUGGACGGGGAUAACCUCGGGAAACUGAGGAUAAACCCCGAUAGAUCAUUAUGCCUGGAACGGUUUAUGGUCAAAAUGAUUCGUCGCCGUAGGGUGGGACUGCGGCCUAUCAGCUUGUUGGUGAGGUAAUGGCCCACCAAGGCUAUUACAGGUACGGGCUCUGAGAGGAGAAGCCCGGAGAUGGGUACUGAGACACGGACCCAGGCCCUAUGGGGCGCAGCAGGCGAGAAACCUUUGCAAUGUGCGCAAGCACGACAAGGUUAAUCCGAGUGUUUCCUGCUAAAGGAAUCUUUUGUUAGUUGUAAAAUCACUGAUGAAUAAGGGGUGGGCAAGUUCUGGUGUCAGCCGCCGCGGUAAAACCAGCACCUCAAGUGGUCAGGAUGAUUAUUGGGCCUAAAGCAUCCGUAGCCUGUUCUAUAAGUUUCCGGUUAAAUCCAUUAGCUCAACUAAUGGGCUGCCGAAAACACUGUAGAACUAGGGAGUGGGAGAGGUAGACGGUACUCGGUAGGAAGGGGUAAAAUCCUUUGAUCUAUUGAUGACCACCUGUGGCGAAGGCGGUCUACCAGAACACGUUCGACGGUGAGGGAUGAAAGCUGGGGGAGCAAACCGGAUUAGAUACCCGGGUAGUCCCAGCUGUAAACGAUGCAGACUCGGUGAUGCCCUGGCUUGUGGCCAGUGCAGUGCCGCAGGGAAGCCGUUAAGUUUGCCGCCUGGGAAGUACGUACGCAAGUAUGAAACUUAAAGGAAUUG